CUCCGGGGAUAACAGGCUGAUACCGCCCAAGAGUUCAUAUCGACGGCGGUGUUUGGCACCUCGAUGUCGGCUCAUCACAUCCUGGGGCUGAAGUCGGUCCCAAGGGUAUGGCUGUUCGCCAUUUAAAGUGGUACGCGAGCUGGGUUUAGAACGUCGUGAGACAGUUCGGUCCCUAUCUGCCGUGGGCGUUGGAAGAUUGAAGGGGGCUGCUCCUAGUACGAGAGGACCGGAGUGGACGAACC
rnacentral:rRNA from 1 species